rnacentral:rRNA from 1 species
GGGAUGGGCCAUCUUUUUAUUUUUAAAAGACCUUUUUCGGAAGGUAUGCUUAAAGAGGGGCUUGCGUCACAUUAGUUAGUUGGCAGGGUAAAGGCCUACCAAGACUAUGAUGUGUAGCUGGACUGAGAGGUUGAACAGCCACAUUGGGACUGAGACACGGCCCAAACUCCUACGGGAGGCAGCAGUAGGGAAUUUUCGGCAAUGGAGGAAACUCUGACCGAGCAACGCCGCGUGAACGAUGAAGUAUUUCGGUAUGUAAAGUUCUUUUAUUGAAGAAGAAAAAAUAGUGGAAAAACUAUCUUGACGAUAUUCAAUGAAUAAGCCCCGGCAAACUAUGUGCCAGCAGCCGCGGUAAUACAUAGGGGGCGAGCGUUAUCCGGAAUUAUUGGGCGUAAAGGGUGCGUAGGCGGUUUAAUAAGUCUAUAGUUUAAUUUCAGUGCUUAACACUGUCCUGCUAUAGAAACUAUUAGACUAGAGUGAGAUAGAGGCAAGUGGAAUUCCAUGUGUAGCGGUAAAAUGCGUAAAUAUAUGGAGGAACACCAGAGGCGUAGGCGGCUUGCUGGGUCUUUACUGACGCUGAGGCACGAAAGCGUGGGGAGCAAACAGGAUUAGAUACCCUGGUAGUCCACGCCGUAAACGAUGAGUACUAAGUGUCGGGAUUACUCGGUACUGAAGUUAACACAUUAAGUACUCCGCCUGAGUAGUACGUACGCAAGUAUGAAACUUAAAGGAAUUGACGGGACUCCGCACAAGCGGUGGAUCAUGUUGUUUAAUUCGAAGAUACACGAAAAACCUUACCAGGUCUUGACAUACUCUGCAAAGCUAUAGCAAUAUAGUGGAGGUUAUCAGGGAUACAGGUGGUGCAUGGUUGUCGUCAGCUCGUGUCGUGAGAUGUUAGGUUAAGUCCUAAAACGAGCGCAACCCUUGUCAUUAGUUGCCAGCAUGUCAUGAUGGGCACUUUAAUGAGACUGCCAAUGAAAAAUUGGAGGAAGGUGAGGAUCACGUCAAAUCAUCAUGCCCCUUAUGAUCUGGGCUACAAACGUGAUACAAUGGCUGUUACAAAGAGUAGCUGAAACGCAAGUUUAUAGCCAAUCUCAUAAAAGCAGUCUCAGUUCGGAUUGAAGUCUGCAACUCGACUUCAUGAAGUUGGAAUCGCU